GUGUCAGCAGCCGCGGUAAUACGUAGGUGGCGAGCGUUGUCCGGAAUUAUUGGGCGUAAAGGAUGCGUAGGUGGAUAUUUAAGUGGGAUGUGAAAUCCCUGGGCUCAACCCAGGAAUUGCAUUCCAAACUGGGUAUCUUGAGUGUAGGAGAGGAAAGCAGAAUUCCUAGUGUAGAGGUGAAAUUCGUAGAUAUUAGGAGGGAUACCAGUGGCGAAGGCGGCUUUCUGGACUAUAACUGACACUGAGGCAUGAAAGCGUGGGUAGCAAACAGGAUUAGAUACCCUGGUAGUCCACGCUGUAAACGAUGGGUACUAGGUGUAGGAGGUAUCGACCCCUUCUGUGCCGUCGUAAACACAAUAAGUACCCCGCCUGGGGAGUACGGUCGCAAGACUAAA
rnacentral:rRNA from 1 species